rnacentral:misc_RNA from 1 species
UUUCCGUAGGUGAACCUGCGGAAGGAUCAUUACUGAGGAUGGCUUCGCAAGAAGCGCCUUCUACACAAUGUGAACAAUACCUGGUGCUUCGGCAGGACGAUGGCGUUGCUGACAGCGUUGCUGACAGCAGUGCUGUCCACUGAUCUAGGAAGCCUAGAUGGGUGCGAGCCUGCCGGAGGAGUGUUUUACAACUCUUUUUAUACUAGAAGCAGUCUUAUGAAAAACAAAAGAAACAAAACUUUCAACAACGGAUCUCUUGGUUCUGGCAUCGAUGAAGAACGCAGC